GCUAAACGGAGGAACAUGGACGUGGCUCUC
rnacentral:piRNA from 1 species